GACGAACGCUGGCGGCGUGCUUAACACAUGCAAGUCGAGCGGUAAGGCCCUUUCGGGGGUACACGAGCGGCGAACGGGUGAGUAACACGUGGGUGACCUGCCCUCAGCUCUGGGAUAAGCCUGGGAAACCGGGCCUAAUACUGGAUAUGACUCCAUGACGCAUGUUGUGGGGUGGAAAGCCUUGUGCGGCUGAGGAUGGGCCCGCGGCCUAUCAGCUUGUUGGUGGGGUGAGGGCCUACCAAGGCGACGACGGGUAGCCGGCCUGAGAGGGCGACCGGCCACACUGGGACUGAGACACGGCCCAGACUCCUACGGGAGGCAGCAGUGGGGAAUCUUGCGCAAUGGGCGAAAGCCUGACGCAGCGACGCCGCGUGAGGGAU
rnacentral:rRNA from 1 species